rnacentral:tRNA from 2 species
GGCGGGGUAGCUCAGGGGUAGAGCAGGGGUCUCAUAAGCCCUUGGCCGGCAGUUCAAAUCUGCCUUCCGCCACCA